GAUGAACGCUGGCGGCGUGCCUAAUACAUGCAAGUCGAGCGAACGGACGAGAAGCUUGCUUUUCUGAUGUUAGCGGCGGACGGGUGAGUAACACGUGGAUAACCUACCUAUAAGACUGGGAUAACUUCGGGAAACCGGAGCUAAUACCGGAUAAUAUUUUGAACCGCAUGGUUCAAAAGUGAAAGACGGUCUUGCUGUCACUUAUAGAUGGAUCCGCGCUGCAUUAGCUAGUUGGUAAGGUAACGGCUUACCAAGGCAACGAUGCAUAGCCGACCUGAGAGGGUGAUCAGCCACACUGGAACUGAGACACGGUCCAGACUCCUACGGGAGGCAGCAGUGGGGAAUCUUCCACAAUGGGCGAAAGCCUGACGGAGCAACGCCGCGUGAGUGAUGAAGGUCUUCGGAUCGUAAAACGCUGUUAUUAGGGAAGAAAAUAUGUGUAAGUAACUGUGCACAUCUUGACGGUACCUAAACAGAAAGCCACGGCUAACUACGUG
rnacentral:rRNA from 1 species